rnacentral:rRNA from 1 species
CGAGUCUUAACUGGGCGAAUGAGUUGCAGGGUAUAGACCCGAAACCCGGUGAUCUAUCCAUGGGCAGGUUGAAGGUUGGGUAACACUAACUGGAGGACCGAACCGACUAAUGUUGAAAAAUUAGCGGAUGACUUGUGGAUGGGGGUGAAAGGCCAAUCAAACCGGGAGAUAGCUGGUUCUCCCCGAAAGCUAUUUAGGUAGCGCCUCGUGAACUCAUCUUCGGGGGUAGAGCACUGU